rnacentral:rRNA from 1 species
UACGUAGGUGGCGAGCGUUGUCCGGAAUUACUGGGCGUAAAGCGCGUGUAGGCGGGAGGCCAAGUCUGUGGUGAAAUCGCUCGGCUUAACUGGGCGGGGUCCAUGGAAACUGGUCACCUGGAGGUCGGUAGAGGCAAGUGGAAUUCCCGGUGUAGUGGUGAAAUGCGUAGAGAUCGGGAGGAACACCAGUGGCGAAGGCGGCUUGCUGGGCCGGACCUGACGCUGAGACGCGAAGGCGUGGGGAGCGAACGGG